rnacentral:rRNA from 1 species
UACGGGAGGCAGCAGUGGGGAAUAUUGCACAAUGGGCGAAAGCCUGAUGCAGCUAUGCCGCGUGUAUGAAGAAGGCCUUAGGGUUGUAAAGUACUUUCAUCGGGGAGGAAAAAACAAAACUAAUAAUUUUAUUUCUUGACGUUACCCGAAAAAGAAGCACCGGCUAACUCCGUGCCAGCAGCCGCGGUAAUACGGAGGGUGCUAGCGUUAAUCAGAAUUAUUGGGCGUAAAGAGCACGUAGGUGGUUUUUUUAAGUCAGAUGUGAAAUCCCUGGGCUUAACCUGGAACUGCAUUUUGAAACUGAAAUACUAGAGUAUCGUAGAGGGAGGUAGAAUUCUAGGUGUAGCGGUGAAAUGCGUAGAUAUCUGGAGGAAUACCUGUGGCGAAAGCGGCCUCCUAAACGAAUACUGACACUGAGGUGCGAAAGCGUGGGGAGCAAACAGGGAUUAGAUACCCGU